GGGUAUAAUAACACUGAAUCAGGUUUUGUAAAACCCAAGAGAGGACUACGCACUCCCCUUCCCAGAAGAUUUAAUUUGGAUCAGACUCAAAAACCGAGAGAACCUCGUGGAUUUGUUUACAUUGAAUGGCAAAGUAGGGCCACCGCCACGGGGCUGUCUAUUCAUUAAUUUCCAGUGGAUUUUGGUCUAAAUUACUGCUAUGCAUUUCAUACUGCUCGCUUUCAAAGGGCGUCUCUGCGGCCAUGAGAAACGUGAUAUCCAGUGUGAGGGAAAGGAUUCACUCACUCUGAGGAGCCAAAGCAAUUUCAAAUGUUCAAGCUUUCAACUUUUGAAGUUUAAUGUUUUUAUCUGAAAAGUAGGCUGUUUAUUAUUUAUUUGUUUAUGUAACAAGGUCCCCGUGUUCCCUGCUGGGGAGAUCAUUUGUUUUCUGUGCAAGUAGAGAGAGAAAAAUCCCCAAGUAUAACAAGAGACGAACAGUUAGUGCUGAUUUUCAUUUGCAUAAAUUUUCAUAUAUUUUAGUGAAAAUAAUAGCGGUGCAGAGGAGAGCUCCGCUCAGUUGAGUCAGAGGGAAGAAAAUCUUAGGAAGGACCAAAUCGGAGGGAGAGAGUCGGUCACUGAUGGACGAACAAUGCAGUAUUUGAGACAUUUUUUUCUGUUAUCAUGGAAUAACACGAAGACUCUUCCACCUUCCCUCCCACCUCUGGACAGGGGGUGUCUACGACAGCCCCAGAUUCAUUCUGCUGCAUUGGGACGAGGGACAGAGUGGCCAUGCUGUGAGCGCCGGCGUACACACACACGCACGCACACACGCACUUCUUCCGUUUUCAGCUUACACUGCUGCUGGAGUUCUUAGCCUGCUGGCUAUUUUCUUUGAGAGACUAUAAAAAUAUGCAAAUGCUGUUGUUAAAGAGAGAAUUUGAGUUUUUUUUUUCUGCUUGCGCUCAUUGUGAGACUGCAUAGCAAAAUGCAGAAGUAUUAUACUUUUAGUCCAUCUCUUUGCUUAUAGAAAGACCGUGAACAAAUUAAAAGGAGCUACUGCGAUAGGUUAAUUGAAAUGUCAUGACUGAAGUCAGCAACAAAACAAACAAACAAAAUCUGUUGUCACAGAUUUAACGCUCUCUUCCACUCUCUAAAGUUCUCAUCAUGGCGGACAAGCUUGAAAAACAGAGCGUCAGACCCUUGAAAAGUGCAGGAAAAAGUAUGGGGCGAAUUUGUAAACCCCUCACGGUGCCGAGAACACUUUUUGAAGUGAUUAUGAAGACAGUUCAGAUCAAAGGCUUUGACAACUCUGAGUGCCCGCCAAAACUGAGCCCCUGUAAUCGCACAGAGCCCUCCGUACAACACAGCUCACACCCCUCAAGCACCCGGCAGAACGCAACGCCACACUCGCACAUACACAGAUUAUCAGGGGACAGAAAAUGGCUGGAAAGUAAAUACGGGAUUAGAGUUUUCAAUCUGAACAGCACCAAUAUAACCGAGGAGAUUAGCAUAACAUUUACAGGUAGAUAUUAAUUAUCAACAGCAGGGAGAUGAUGGAAAAAAAUCGGAAAUUAAAACUCUGCUUGGUACGUUCUUAUGUUUUAAAGAGCGGAUUGGCAUGUAACCUCGUUAUAUCUUAAAUAAUGUAUUCAACGUUAUUACAUUAUUCAAUGUACUACAAUGACUUUCUUAAUCCUUCGCAAAGACACCAGAGAAGUCAGGAAAAAAGAGAGGUAUUAAAAAGAGUGAGUGGAAAAGUGCUUUGUUGAAGUCAACAAACUCUUUUUAUUUCUAUAUAAUUAUGUGCUCUGCUGUGCAUAACUGCUUGGCAGCAUUGUAGCAAAUGUCCAUCACUGGCUCUAUUAGCCCUGCAGACAGACGGCCACUACAUUAAGCACAGUAUUUUGCUCACACUUUAGGAAAACACAAAAUAAACAAAACAUUAUCAGAGAUUUAAAGGGAUAAGUCUGUGUUAUAUCAGUAAAUAGGCUAUACUUUCUGAAAAAAUUCUGUCAUCAUUUACUCACCCUCUUGUCAUUUCAAACCUGUAUGAUUUUAUUUCCCCCUGCAGAACACAAAAACGACAUUUAAAAAAAAGUUAGAUUACCGAACAACCAUGGUUUCUAUUGACUUGCAUUAAUUUUGUGUCCAUACAAGAGAAGUCAAUGGGUAUUGCCGUUGUUGACCAAAAUUCUUCAAAAUAUCUUCUUUUGUCUUGACAAAAUUUUGAAAUGACAAGAGGGUGACUAAAUAAUGACAGAAUUUUCAUUUUUGGAUGAAUUAUCUUUUUAAAACAUUUUUGGAAUAUUUGAAAUUAGAUCAAUCUACUAAUUUCUUUCAUUCCAAAACAAUGUGUUAUUUUAAAAGUUAAAAAAAGGAUGAAUUAGACUAAAUAAUUAAGAAAAAUCAUUCAAUAAGAUGUCAGAAUAGCUAGAAACUCCUUGAAUACUGGUUAAUAAAAUGCAAAGAGUACACUUGCAAAUUCUAGGGGUGGCUACUUUGAACAUCCCUGGUGUCCUUCUGAAACCUUAUAUCUCCAUAUUUCGUGAUUAUUCUUUUUGCCAUAGAUCAUUAUUAUUAGUCACCCUUUAUGUUUGUUACUGGGGUUUGCAUAUGUAACCAAUAAAACGUAUUAGAAAGUGCUUGUCAACUUUGACAACCCAGUAGUACUCAUUUUAAAAGUACAGUGUUUUUCCAUUUCCUGAAAAACAGCACAUUUGGACAUACAGGGUUUCAGAAGGACUGCGACAAUAUGCUAAAAUACAACAAUUUUGAAUUAUUUUAAUUUUUAGCCACAACAUAAUUCCUAUAGUUACAUAGUUUUGAUGAAUUUAGUAUUAUUAGGUGUCCUUAAAAUUUGGAUGGUGAUGUUGGUCAGUAUAAACCUGUUUUUCACCAUUUCCGCUACUUGAUGAUGUUGUAUAGACAUUUAUUUAUUUCCGUUUUCCUAUUGUGUAUAUGUUUAUUGUUUUGUGGUGUCAUACUGGUGCUGAUGUGAAACAAUAAAGUGUGUGACAGCAAGUUCCCUCUCUGCCUCUUGUUUACGGUGCCACUCAGCGCCUCUCUCAGACUAACCGCUUGGUACAGUCGUCUCUGGAUCACUUCCAGAACCCUCGGGUUCCGAGUGGCCCGGUCUCUGAAGAGCAGCCAACAAACGGGCCUUUCAGUGUGGACAGCAGAUGGGGCGGGCCAGCCAGCCACUCGGAGGAACUUCUUGUGUCGCCAGACACAGAGAUUGAAUCCGCUUUUAUCUGCCAUCCCUCAGUGGACUACAAUGAGCCUUCCUGUGCACUUAACCACGAGAUAACACACACAUACAGAAAAGAAAUGUCUGACAGCUUGGUCACAGAGAACUGCAGGCUCUAUUGAUUGCCUGAUCAUUAGGAGUGACCAGCCAAGUGGCGACAUAGCUGCAGACGCUGUUAGCACCAGCAAAAACCAUCUGACCUCUCUUUAACGAACGGCCAUCGAGUGACCAGACCUACUCAUUGACCCAUAAUGGUCACCGUUAAGAUAACUACACCCAGCUGACGGCCGUUUCAUCGACUGCCACGGAUCCGCUUGGACUUGUGCGGUUGCCUUCGGAAGGUCUGACGUGGAUUUUUACGAGGAAAUGUAUUUCAUAUCUGAUGGUUUAGCAGAUGUCUGUAUGCAGAACAGUUGGCAGGUGUGUCUGCCAGUACAAUCCCACUGAUGAUACAGUUUACACUAGUCCGACACCCACUGCUGAAAGUCUGCGAGUGACACUGCUCACCUCCUGUUGCGCUAUUAGAAAGCACAGCUUCCAGUUCAGAGCCUCGCACCACCCUGAUAUGUGUGUGUGUGUGCGAAAGAGAGAGAGAGACAGUGUGAAAGGCAGGCGGAGGGGAGGAGAUGGAAAAGGCCACUGAUCAGUAAGUGAAUGAAGCGUUUCUCUGGUCAGUCCCUCUGAGGGGAAACACCCCGCCGAGGACUUUGUGGAAAUAAACUCGAUGAGGCGGUGAGUGUUUGACCUCACGUCUGUCCUCGCACCACCUUCGCCGCUCUCACGGCUGACUGACACCGACUACAUCCUGUCUGCAUCGAGUCACUUCCCGCCUGUCGUUACGUUGCCUGACCGACGUCUGUCAGAUGCUUUUUUAAUCUGUAACUAGUAUGUAUGUCAAAAUAGCUCGUUCCGUUACUGUUCCGCCAAUUUCCAUUCAUUCAGAUUUCAUUCCUUUUUAUUAGAUUGAAAUAAGGACCUUUACGUGGUAACCAACACCAUAUGAGCUUAGCAGCAUGAGAAACAUGCGAAAGCUGAGAGCUUUGAGUGGUUGCUCUGUAGAGAACAUGGAUAGUGGAGCUCCAGGGGGAAUAGACCCUUGUGGGGCAGCUGAAGGAACGAGGGGAAGAGCGGAAGCAGAUUGCAGGAGAAGGCGGUGGCUUUGAUGGUUGUAGGUAGCAGGUUUUUUCCCCGAACCGCUGCAGGAGACUCAAGCACGGGCCUCUACCGGCACAGGUGGUACUGCUCAUUUCAAUUUAGCUCAAAUCUACACUUGAAAUAGUGCGGCUGUCAUAAGCAAUCUGCGGCUCAGGACAGAGCACUGCCUCGGUCGAGGGGUGGUGAGAAGGGGGGUGUCAGUGUAGACUAUGUUGAGUUCUGAAGAAGAGGCUACUGCCAUAUGCCCUCCCCGCAACCUCCUCCCCCCACUUUCACUGUUACUUUACUCUACCAAGCACAUGUUCACCGCAGGUCCACUCAUCCAGAACAACACAAAGAGAGGUCAGAGCAGUCAACAAGUUAUUUACUGCAGGGGAGCUGCUGUGCCUCACACACCCCAUCUGCUUUCAGAGAUGAGACCGCAUCCCCCAUUAUGUAACAUUUUAUUUUCUUAUUGUUCUGACAAAAAGGUCUAACAUGCGCCCGUAGGUUUUCUGUGAUUGUGCUUCUUGUAUCUGAGAUAAAGCUCAUGGGCGUCAGGAACGCCACCAACCGACACCUUUGGUGUUUAAGGUCUUACCCGCUAUACGCAUUGAUGUUAGAAGAAAACACGGGGGCUUUGGUUAAUUCCACCACAGAUGCGCAAUAUAAAGAAUACAACUUCAGUAAAGCGGACACUGUAAUUAUUCUAACGCAUUGAACAGUUCUUAUGGGAUCUUUUUCUAAUUAGAUGCGUUAUUUACUAUUUUCAAUUCUGUUUUACUAAUUUAAAAUUAUGUUUGGGGCGGAUAUCUUGGGGUACCAACCACAUGCACAAGCCAAAUGUGUGUUUAUUUAAAAAUGUCAUAUUUUAAUUCAGGGGCAUUACUAGAACUAGGGUAGUGGAACUGUAGUCUUUUCUGGAUAAUGUUUUCAUGGUAGCUUAUGUGUUGCCAGCCUCUCUAUCAUCUGUUUGUCUGUCUAUUAAGAGUGGUCUUUAUCUUCUAAAACCUCAAAUUUGAAAAGAUUU